rnacentral:rRNA from 1 species
UACGGAGGAUGCAAGCGUUAUCCGGAAUGAUUGGGCGUAAAGCGUCCGCAGGUGGCAAUGUAAGUCUGCUGUUAAAGAGUCUAGCUCAACUAGAUAAAAGCAGUGGAAACUACAUAGCUAGAGUACGUUCGGGGCAGAGGGAAUUCCUGGUGUAGCGGUGAAAUGCGUAGAGAUCAGGAAGAACACCAGUGGCGAAGGCGCUCUGCUAGGCCGUAACUGACACUGAGGGACGAAAGCUAGGGGAGCGAAAGGG